rnacentral:rRNA from 1 species
AUGUCCGGAGCGGGAGGCAAGUGGAUGGUCUCCUCCGUCACGGAGGGACACAUAAAAAAACUAAGGAAGGCCGGAUACUUGUCUGACGACAUCGCGCACUGGCUUCCCGAAGAGGGGCAUCUCCUCCCCAUCCCAAGGCCCCAUGAGAGGGUAGUGUUCCUUCCCCACUUCCUCCGUGGACUGAGCUUUCCUCUCCACCCAUUCGUCCGGGGGCUCAUGUUCUACUAUGGCCUGGAUUUCCACGAUCUGGCCCCGAACUUCAUCCUCAACAUCUCGGUGUUUAUCGUCGUGUGCGAGGCUUUCCUCAGCAUCCGCCCCCAUUUCAGCUUAUGGCUCAAGACUUUCAAUGUCAAGCCAAAGGUGGUGCGCGGCAACCAGGCGGAAUGCGGAGGUGCCAUGGCGGGUAAGAUGGCCAACGUCCUAUGGCUCGAGGGCUCCUUUGUGGAGACCCUGAAGGGGUGGCAAUCGGGGUGGUUUUACAUCACCGAGCCGCGCGACCCUAAGUGGGUCGCAGCCCUCGAGUUCCGGUCUGAACCCCCUACGCGGCUCACGUCCUGGAAAGAGACGGGCCUGUUGUGGGGCAACAAAGGAGAGGUGACUCGACUGCAAACAUGCAUCCAAACCCUGGUGAACAAGCAGCUCAAGCUUGUCAACAUAGUCCAGGUUAUGCUCAUCCGCUGGAUCCUCUCGUGUCAACAACGGGCCUUUAACCUGUGGGAGUUCGACCCGGCGCAGCACCGAACUCUGAGCAGGCUCUUCGACAUGACGUACGAAGAUGCCUGGAAGGUGCUAUUCAAGGGCGCCGAGGCUCCCGCAUCCGCUUCCGAGGACCGCGGAUUCAGCACGCAGCGUUACGCUAGUGCGGUAAGCUAUUUUUACCUUUUACAGGCCGAUGCUCACUUGGCGAAGCUGCUGGUUCCGGCACCCUAUGUGGUGCCGGAGAAGAAGGCCACGAAGAAGGCCAUGGGGACUCGAAAGAGUGCUCGGCGCCUGGUGGUGUCGGAUUCAUCAUCCGACGACUCCGAGACGCACUCCUCCCGUGAAGACGGGGAGGAGGAAGAAGAAGCCUCUCCCCCUCCAGUGGGGGAGGAAAGAAAAGGAAGGCCGCCCCAACUGGGGGGGCCGAGGGGUCCAAAAAGGGGAAGACCCUUCCUCCGGACUACUCCACCGACGCUGACGACGGCGAAGAGGAGUGGCCGCACAGGGCCAAGCGCCCGACGAAAUCCUUUCCUUAUGUCAGAUAUGAUUAUGCAGUCCGCCCUAGGCCGGGCUCGACGAGUCGUCGAGCGGCUCCCUGGAUUCGUCGGAUGUGAAUUCACUUCUGACGGCUACCUCCCCCCGCCCUACGGACGACGCCGAGGUGGCGUCCCAACAGGUUCCAAGCCAGGAGAGGGUGGUCCUGGAGGAGCCGCGAGGCAACCUCCCGGACUCCAAGAGUAA